AGAAGAAGACGAGAAGAAUCACAGCGAGGAGACCAAUCACAGCGGUGGUGGUGGUGGUGGUGGUGGUGGUGGGUAGUAGUGGUGGUGGAGGUGGUGGUGGAGGGAGAAGAGUUGAGAAAGAGAGAGAGAUGGAGUUUUGGUUGCGGUGGUGAGGGUGAGAAAGAGAGAUCGAGUUUUAGGUUGUGUUUUUUUUGCUGAAUUCUAAGUCAUUUUAGUAGUAAUGGAGAAGAUGAGAACAGAUGAAGAAGAUGAGAAGAAGAUGCUUACCCAGCGAGAAGAAGACGAGAAGAAUCACAGCAGUGGUGGUGGUGGUGGUGGUGGGUAGUAGUGGUGGUGGAGAAAGAGAGAUCGAGUUUUAGGUUGCGGUGGUGAGGGUGAGAAAGAGAGAUCGAGUUUUUUGCGGUGGUGAGGGUGAGAAAGAGAGAUCGAGUGAGGUUGCGGCCGCCAUUAGAGAGAGAGAGAGAUCGAGUUUUAGGUUUGUUUUUUUUUUUUUUUUUUAUGUUAUAUAGUGUGGCGAAAAAUGUUGGCGAAUUCGCGGUGAAUAAAAAAACACCUAUUCGGGUGGGCGAAAAAAUGGUCGAUUCGCCGAGUUUUUUUGGUGAAUGAGUGUAUUUUGACAAAAAAAUCCGGUGUAUAAAUAAUUUACUCCAAAUACGCCAAAUUCGCCGAGUCUUUAUCAAACAUCAAGAAUACCGGUGAAACGCGGCGAAUCACCCAUUCACCACGGCGAAUCGGUUAUCAAACAGGGCCUA
rnacentral:lncRNA from 1 species